rnacentral:misc_RNA from 1 species
GAUGAAGAACGCAGCGAAAUGCGAUAAGUAAUGUGAAUUGCAGAAUUCAGUGAAUCAUCGAAUCUUUGAACGCACAUUGCGCCCCCUGGUAUUCCGGGGGGCAUGCCUGUUCGGGCGUCAUUUCACCACUCAAGCCUCGCUUGGUAUUGGGCAUCGCGGUCCGCCGCGCGCCUCAAAUCGACCGGCUGGGUCUUCUGUCCCCUAAGCGUUGUGGAAACUAUUCGCUAAAGGGUGUUCGGGAGGCUACGCCGUAAAACAACCCCAUUUCUAAGGUUGACCUCGGAUCAGGUAGGGAUACCCGCUGAACUUAAGCAUAUCAAUAAGCGGAGGA